AUUGAACGCUGGCGGCAGGCCUAACACAUGCAAGUCGAGCGGAAACGAGUUAUCUGAACCUUCGGGGAACGAUAACGGCGCCGAGCGGCGGACGGGUGAGUAAUGCCUAGGAAAUUGCCCUGAUGUGGGGGAUAACCAUUGGAAACGAUGGCUAAUACCGCAUGAUGCCUACGGGCCAAAGAGGGGGACCUUCGGGCCUCUCGCGUCAGGAUAUGCCUAGGUGGGAUUAGCUAGUUGGUGAGGUAAGGGCUCACCAAGGCGACGAUCCCUAGCUGGUCUGAGAGGAUGAUCAGCCACACUGGAACUGAGACACGGUCCAGACUCCUACGGGAGGCAGCAGUGGGGAAUAUUGCACAAUGGGCGCAAGCCUGAUGCAGCCAUGCCGCGUGUAUGAAGAAGGCCUUCGGGUUGUAAAGUACUUUCAGUCGUGAGGAAGGCGGCGUCGUUAAUAGCGGCGUUGUUUGACGUUAGCGACAGAAGAAGCACCGGCUAACUCCGUGCCAGCAGCCGCGGUAAUACGGAGGGUGCGAGCGUUAAUCGGAAUUACUGGGCGUAAAGCGCAUGCAGGUGGUUUGUUAAGUCAGAUGUGAAAGCCCGGGGCUCAACCUCGGAAUAGCAUUUGAAACUGGCAGACUAGAGUACUGUAGAGGGGGGUAGAAUUUCAGGUGUAGCGGUGAAAUGCGUAGAGAUCUGAAGGAAUACCGGUGGCGAAGGCGGCCCCCUGGACAGAUACUGACACUCAGAUGCGAAAGCGUGGGGAGCAAACAGG
rnacentral:rRNA from 1 species